rnacentral:tRNA from 2 species
GCCCGGAUAGCUCAGUCGGUAGAGCAGGGGACUGAAAAUCCCCGUGUCGGUGGUUCGAUUCCGCCUCCGGGCACCA